GUAAUUUCGUCCAGGAUCGCUGAUCAACGAUUGAUCAAACCCCUCAAAGCAAGCAAGACUCCAACCCUUUCUCACCGGGCGCCAAAAACCCCUUUCGUCGCUUUAUCAACAAACCUUACUCUCUCCUUUCAAACGUAGUGCCAGAGCAGAGCUCCAAAUUGAAAAAUUUCUCAUAAAUCAGAAGAGAGAUAUUGAGAAAGAUUGCACUCUGGUUCCUCUUUCUCCAUCGGCGCCACCUAUUCGAUUUGAUUAUUGUUUGGUUUCGAUUUCAGUAUGGACCUUCAGAACACUGUGAAGGAAGCCCUAAAUGCACUGUACCAUCACCCUGAUGAUGCGGUGCGCAUGCAAGCCGAUCGCUAUCUCCAAGAUUUCCAAAGAACUUUGGAUGCCUGGCAGGUGGCUGAUAAUUUACUUCAUGAUCCCAGUAGCAAUCUAGAAACCUUAAUAUUUUGUUCUCAGACCUUGAGAAGCAAGGUACAAAGGGACUUUGAGGAACUCCCUUCCACAGCUUUUCGGCCACUGCGUGACUCAUUGAAUACAUUGCUGAAAAAGUUCCACAAGGGUCCUCCAAAAGUCAGAACACAGAUUAGCAUUGCAGUGGCUGCCUUGGCAGUGCACGUCCCUGCAGAAGACUGGGGGGAUGGUGGUAUAGUCAAAUGGCUUAGGGAUGAGAUGGAUUCCCAUCCAGAAUAUAUACCGGGAUUCUUGGAGUUACUUACAGUUCUACCAGAGGAAGUAUUAAAUUAUAAGAUAGCAGCACGCCCAGAAAGGCGACGCCAAUUUGAAAAAGAGCUUACAUCUCAAAUGGAAGUUGCUCUUAAUAUAUUGACAGCUUGUUUGACUAUUUCUGAACUUAAGGAGCAGGUUCUAGAGGCCUUUGCUUCGUGGCUUCGCUUAAAGCAUGGGAUUCCGGGAUCAGUUCUGAGCUCUCAUCCGCUAGUUCUCACAGCAUUAUCAAGCUUGAAUUCCGAGUUACUUUCAGAAGCAUCUGUAAAUGUGAUUUCCGAGUUAAUACAUUACACGGCAGCAGGCAAUAUUGAUGGUGUUUCUGCAAAUAUGCCCUUAAUUCAAGUCAUUGUACCUCAAGUUAUGAAUCUUAAAGCCCAGCUUAGUGAUUCGACAAAGGAUGAGGAAGAUGUGAAGGCGAUUGCUAGGUUAUUUGCAGACAUGGGUGAUUCAUACGUGGAACUGAUUGCAACUGGUUCAGAUGAAUCAAUGCUAAUAGUGCAUGCAUUGUUGGAAGUUGCUUCACAUUCUGAAUAUGAUAUUGCUUCUAUGACUUUUAACUUUUGGCAUAGUCUUCAGUUAAACUUGACCAAAAGGGAGUCCUAUAUUUCAUAUGGUAAUGAAGCUUGCAUUGAAGCUGAGAGAAAUAGAAGGCUGCAGGUUUUCCGUCCUGCAUAUGAGUCACUUGUAUCACUGGUUAUCUUUCGGGUUCAGUAUCCUGAAGAUUAUCAAGACCUUUCAUACGAGGAUCUUAAGGAAUUUAAGCAGACCAAAUAUGCUGUUGCAGAUGUAUUGACAGAUGCAUCAUCAGUACUUGGUGGCGAUGCAACACUUAAAAUUCUUUACUUGAAACUGCUUGAGGCUGUAUCUGGUCAUGGUAGUAAUGAACACAAGGAAUGGCGACCAGCUGAGGCUGCUUUAUUUUGUAUUCGGGCUAUAUCAAAUUAUGUGUCAGUUGUUGAAGCAGAAGUAAUGCCUCAGAUCAUGGCCUUGCUUCCGAAACUUCCUCAUCAACCCCAACUACUUCAGACAGUGUGUUUAACUAUUGGAGCUUAUUCAAAAUGGCUUGAUUCGGCGUCUUGUGGACUGUCUGUACUGCCAUCGGUUUUAGAUAUCCUAAUGAAUGGCAUGGGUACAUCUGAAGAUUGUGCAGCUGCUGCUGCUUUGGCAUUUAGACACAUUUGUGAUGAUUGCCGCAAAAAGCUUUGUGGAUGCUUAGAGGGUUUGUUCCACAUCUACAAUAAGACAGUUAAUGGAGAAGAUAGUUUCAAAGUUCCUGCUGAAGACUCGUUGCAUCUGGUUGAAGCAUUAAGUAUGGUAGUUACUGAACUUCCUGCAGAUGAUGCUAAGAGAGCUCUUGAGGCGUUAUGCAUACCAGUCAUAACUCCUUUACAGGAAGCUAUUUCUCUAGGUCCAGAAAGCUUGAGUAAAAGACCUUCUCGUCAGUUAACAGUUCACAUUGAUAGAUUUGCUUACAUCUUUAGAUAUGUAAAUCAUCCUCAAGUUGUGGCAGAUGCUAUUCAACGGCUAUGGCCUAUGUUUAAGGCUAUCUUUGAUCUUCGUGCUUGGGACAUGAGAACAAUGGAAUCUCUCUGCCGAGCAUGUAAAUAUGCAGUCAGAACUUCUGGAAGAUUCAUGGGGCUCACAAUUGGUGCUAUGCUGGAAGAGAUUCAGAGUCUAUACAGGCAGCACCACCAACCAUGCUUUCUUUAUCUCUCAAGUGAAGUUAUAAAGAUAUUUGGUUCUGAUCCGUCUUGUGCUGACUACCUGAAAAGUUUGAUUGAGGCGCUUUUUCAACAUACAACACGUCUUCUCACAAAUAUUCAGGAAUUCACAGCCCGUCCUGAUAUUGCCGAUGAUUGUUUCUUGUUGGCAUCAAGGUGUAUUCGCUAUUGUCCUCAACUGUUUAUUCCCUCAUCUGUUUUUCCUUCUUUGGUUGAUUGCUCUAUGAUUGGCAUCACAGUACAGCAUAGGGAGGCUUCCAAUUCCAUAUUGCAUUUCUUGGCUGAUAUUUUUGAUCUUGCGAAUUCUUCUGUGGGGGAGCAAUUUAUACCAAUAAGAGACAGUGUAAUUAUUCCUCGAGGUGCCAGCAUCACCAGAAUUUUGGUUGCUUCAUUAACGGGAGCACUUCCAAAAUCUCGAGUGGACGUGGUAUCUUAUACGCUACUGGCAUUAACUCGAUCAUAUGGGAUGCAAGCGCUGGAAUGGGCUAAAAAGAGUGUUUUAUUAAUUCCGUCGACAGCUGUUACAGAUGUGGAGCGAUCAAGAUUCCUAAAAGCUCUUUCUGAUGCAGCAUCCGGAGGUGAUACUAAUGGGCUUACCGUUCCUGUUGAAGAGCUCUCAGAUGUUUGCCGACGUAACAGAUCAGUUCAGGAAAUAGUUCAAGAAGCUUUGAGACCGCUUGAGUUGAACAUGGUGAAUGUAUCAUAGACGAUUGGAAAAACUUGAAUACACUAUUGAAGCUAGGAGGGGAUAGUGCGUGGCGGGCACUCAUGUUUUGAUGCAAUGCAAGGCUCCAAUCUUGUCAAUUUGAGCGAAACUUUCCUUGUUUGAGCAUUUUAUUAACAACCAUAUUUUGUCAUCUCGUGUAAUGGUGUAAUCAUGUCACGUUGAGGUGUGUUUAAAUUGGGAGAUUUUUCGUCACCGUCUCCUUCAGAUUAAGAGAAACCCAACGUAGGUUUACUGCGGAACUGACGUUGGCGCUGAAGAGGAAACACUUAUCUUCAAUCUCGAACGACAACAGUGACUUCUACAAUGCAGAUUGUUUGACUCGUGCAAAUGUUCUCAACAUAACAGAAGCGGCAAAGACCUUCAGUGUUCAAUCACUACUGUUUCGACAAUCUUUGCCAAUGUCUAGAUGCACCACCAUUUGUUCGAAGACCCUCUCCAAAUACUGCUUUCCCUCAUGUUCCCUCACUGUCAACUACCUUUCUUCCAGCACAAGAAAAAAUUGGAUGCAUGUCGCUGAAACAUAAUCCAAACAUGCGUUGACUUGAAUCUAUGGAUUGAAUCUAAAAUUUCAAU